rnacentral:lncRNA from 1 species
AAUGGAAUGCUAAGUGAAAACUAAAAAUAUAAAAAAUAUGUAAUCCGUCCAAAAUUCGCUGCGAUCCACCAAGUAAAUAGAGGGGAAGGUGAGAGACUAUUUUCUUUCUUUAAUCCUAUCUGAUUCGCUAAAAAUCUGCCAAAAAUUCGUUCACGUUCUAACCCACCCUGUUAGAGCAGCAAGUGAGGGCGGCUAACAACAAAAUAAAAAUUAACCACGUUUCGAAUCCGUCCAGAUCUGAUAAUAGAGAACAUGAGGUAAGAAUAAGAGACUUCUCACGCCUCUGAAUCUGAUCAGUUUGCAUCUCUAAUCUCAUGUGCUUGAAAUUUUUAUGCACAGUAAAUAUGCUUUGUAU